GAUGAACGCUGGCGGCGUGCCUAAUACAUGCAAGUCGAGCGAACAGACGAGGAGCUUGCUCCUCUGACGUUAGCGGCGGACGGGUGAGUAACACGUGGAUAACCUACCUAUAAGACUGGGAUAACUUCGGGAAACCGGAGCUAAUACCGGAUAAUAUAUUGAACCGCAUGGUUCAAUAGUGAAAGACGGUUUUGCUGUCACUUAUAGAUGGAUCCGCGCCGCAUUAGCUAGUUGGUAAGGUAACGGCUUACCAAGGCAACGAUGCGUAGCCGACCUGAGAGGGGGAUGGGCCAAACGGGAACUGAGACACGGCCCAGCCCCCAACGGGGGGCAGCAUUGGGGAAUUUUCCGAAAGGGGCAAAACCCUGACGGAGCAAGCCCGCGGGAGUGAUGAGGGUCUUCGGAUCGAAAAACUUUUUUAUUGGGGAAAAAAAAAUGUGUAAGUAACUAUGCCCUUUUUAACGGUCCCAAUACAAAAAGCCCCGGCUAACUACGU
rnacentral:rRNA from 1 species